GAUGAACGCUGGCGGCGUGCCUAAUACAUGCGAGUCGAGCGAACAGACGAGGAGCUUGCUCCUCUGACGUUAGCGGCGGACGGGUGAGUAACACGUGGAUAACCUACCUAUAAGACUGGGAUAACUUCGGGAAACCGGAGCUAAUACCGGAUAACAUGUUGAACCGCAUGGUUCAACAGUGAAAGACAGUCUUGCUGUCACUUAUAGAUGGAUCCGCGCCGCAUUAGCUAGUUGGUAAGGUAACGGCUUACCAAGGCAACGAUGCGUAGCCGACCUGAGAGGGUGAUCGGCCACACUGGAACUGAGACACGGUCCAGACUCCUACGGGAGGCAGCAGUAGGGAAUCUUCCGCAAUGGGCGAAAGCCUGACGGAGCAACGCCGCGUGAGUGAAGAAGGUCUUCGGAUCGUAAAACUCUGUUAUUAGGGAAGAACAAAUGUGUAAGUAACUAUGCACGUCUUGACGGUACCUAAUCAGAAAGCCACGGCUAACUACGUG
rnacentral:rRNA from 1 species